AGAAUCUGCCCUCCACUUUGGGAUAACACCGGGAAACCGGUGCUAAUACCGAAUAUUGAAACAUAAGUGGCAUCACUGAGUUUUGAAAGAAUUUCGGUGGAGGAUGACUUCGCGGCCUAUCAGCUAGUUGGUGAGGUAAUGGCUCACCAAGGCAACGACGGGUAGCCGGCCUGAGAGGGCGACCGGCCACACUGGGACUGAGACACGGCCCAGACUCCUACGGGAGGCAGCAGUGGGGAAUAUUGGGCAAUGGAGGAAACUCUGACCCAGCGACGCCGCGUGCGGGAUGAAGGCCUUCGGGUUGUAAACCGCUUUCAGUAGGGAAGAAGCGAAAGUGACGGUACCUACAAAAGAAGCACCGGCUAACUAUGUGCCAGCAGCCGCGGUAAUACAUAGGGUGCAAGCGUUGUCCGGAAUUAUUGGGCGUAAAGAGCUCGUAGGUCGUUUGUUACGUCGGAUGUGAAAACCUGAGGCUCAACCUCAGGCCUGCAUUCGAUACGGGCAAACUAGAGUUUGGUAGGGGAGACUGGAAUUCCUGGUGUAGCGGUGGAAUGCGCAGAUAUCAGGAGGAACACCAAUGGCGAAGGCAGGUCUCUGGGCCAAUACUGACACUGAGGAGCGAAAGUCUGGGGAGCGAACAGGAUUAGAUACCCUGG
rnacentral:rRNA from 1 species